rnacentral:rRNA from 1 species
UACGGAGGGGGCAAGCGUUGUUCGGAAUUACUGGGCGUAAAGGGCGCGUAGGCGGCCUUCUAAGUCAGACGUGAAAUCCCUCGGCUCAACCGGGGAACUGCGUCUGAGACUGGAAGGCUUGAAUCCGGGAGAGGGAUGCAGAAUUCCAGGUGUAGCGGUGAAAUGCGUAGAUAUCUGGAGGAAUACCGGUGGCGAAGGCGGCAUCCUGGACCGGCAUUGACGCUGAGGAGCGAAAGCUAGGGGAGCAAACGGG